rnacentral:rRNA from 1 species
AUUGAACGCUGGCGGCAUGCCUUACACAUGCAAGUCGAACGGUAACAGGUCUUCGGAUGCUGACGAGUGGCGAACGGGUGAGUAAUACAUCGGAACGUGCCCGAUCGUGGGGGAUAACGGAGCGAAAGCUUUGCUAAUACCGCAUACGAUCUACGGAUGAAAGCAGGGGACCGCAAGGCCUUGCGCGGACGGAGCGGCCGAUGGCAGAUUAGGUAGUUGGUGGGAUAAAAGCUUACCAAGCCGACGAUCUGUAGCUGGUCUGAGAGGACGACCAGCCACACUGGGACUGAGACACGGCCCAGACUCCUACGGGAGGAAGCAGUGGGGAAUUUUGGACAAUGGGCGAAAGCCUGAUCCAGCCAUGCCGCGUGCAGGAUGAAGGCCUUCGGGUUGUAAACUGCUUUUGUACGGAACGAAAAGACUCUUUCUAAUAAAGAGGGUCCAUGACGGUACCGUAAGAAUAAGCACCGGCUAACUACGUG